rnacentral:rRNA from 1 species
UGGGGAAUUUUGGUCAAUGGGGGAAACCCUGAACCAGCAACGCCGCGUGUGGGAUGAAGGCCCUCGGGUCGUAAACCACUGUCAGGAGGGAAGAACCGUACCGAGGCCAAUACCCUCGGUACCUGACGGUACCUCCAAAGGAAGGACCGGCUAACUCCGUGCCAGCAGCCGCGGUAAUACGGAGGGUCCGAGCGUUGUUCGGAAUUACUGGGCGUAAAGCGCGUGCAGGUGGUUCGGUAAGUCGGGUGUGAAAUCCCCGGGCUCAACCCGGGAACUGCAUCCGAAACUGCCAAGCUAGAGUCCCGGAGAGGAAGGCAGAAUUCCCAAUGUAGGGGUGAAAUCCGUAGAUAUUGGGAGGAAUACCAGUUGCGAAGGCGGCCUUCUGGACGGUGACUGACACUCAGACGCGAAAGCGUGGGGAGCAAACAGGAUUAGAUACCCCUGUAGUCC